rnacentral:rRNA from 1 species
UACGUAGGGUGCGAGCGUUGUCCGGAAUUAUUGGGCGUAAAGGGCUCGUAGGCGGUUUGUCACGUCGGGAGUGAAAACUCGGGGCUCAACCCCGAGCCUGCUUCCGAUACGGGCAGACUAGAGGUAUGCAGGGGAGAAUGGAAUUCCUGGUGUAGCGGUGAAAUGCGCAGAUAUCGGGAAGAACACCCGUGGCGAAGGCGGUUCUCUGGGACGGUACUGACGCUGAGACGCGAAAGCGUGGGGAGCGAACAGG